rnacentral:rRNA from 1 species
UACGUAGGGCGCAAGCGUUAUCCGGAAUUAUUGGGCGUAAAGAGCUCGUAGGCGGUGUGUCGCGUCGGUCGUGAAAACUUGGGGCUUAACCCUGAGCUUGCGGUCGAUACGGGCAUCACUGGAGUUCGGCAGGGGAGACUGGAAUUCCUGGUGUAGCGGUGAAAUGCGCAGAUAUCAGGAGGAACACCGGUGGCGAAGGCGGGUCUCUGGGCCGAUACUGACGCUGAGGAGCGAAAGCGUGGGGAGCGAACAGG